rnacentral:rRNA from 1 species
UUGCCUACGGGGCGCAGCAGUGAGGAAUAUUGGUCAAUGGGCGGGAGCCUGAACCAGCCAAGUCGCGUGAAGGAAGAAGGUACUUAGUAUUGUAAACUUCUUUUGUCGGGGAACAAAGGCGGAGACGCGUCUCCGGAUGAGUGUACCCGAAGAAAAAGCAUCGGCUAACUCCGUGCCAGCAGCCGCGGUAAUACGGAGGAUGCGAGCGUUAUCCGGAUUUAUUGGGUUUAAAGGGUGCGUAGGCGGAAUGCCAAGUCAGCGGUAAAAUCGCGGGGCUCAACCUCGCUCCGCCGUUGAAACUGGCG